GACAUAGGUGGCGAACGUUAUCCGGAAUUACUGGGCGUAAAGAGUGCGUAGGUGGUUCAAUAAGUUACUGGUGGGAAAUCGGGGCUCAACCUCGUGGAAGUCAGUAAUACUAUUAAACUAGAGGGUCGGAGAGGUUAACGGAAUUCUAUGUGUAGCGGUAAAAUGCUUAAAUAUAUAGAGGAACACCAAACGGCGAAGGCAGUUAACUAUUUCGAUUCCUGACGUUGAGGCACGAAAGCGUGGGGAGCAAGACGGG
rnacentral:rRNA from 1 species